ACGUAGGGUGCAAGCGUUAUCCGGAAUCACUGGGUGUAAAGCGUGCGUAGGUGGCGUGUUAAGUGUGAUGUUAAAUCGUGUGGCUCAACCAUAUCGAUGUGUCGCAUACUGGCAUGCUAGAGGACAGCAGAGGCAAGUGGAAUUUGUAGUGUAGCAGUGAAAUGCGUAGAUAUUACAAGGAACACCAAUGGCGAAGACAGCUUGCUGGGCUACUCCUGACACUGAGGUACGAAAGCGUGGGGAGCGAACAGGA
rnacentral:rRNA from 1 species